rnacentral:tRNA from 1 species
GGGCCCGGGGUCGGUCGGCAAGACGCCAGCUUCGCAAGUUGGAAAUACCGGGUUCAAUGAACCUUUUCUGCGCUCCUCGAAGCGCUCGCUUUCUUAUGCUCGCGUUCUGCGGUGCUUGAAAAGCUUCACCAAAAGCGGCGCACGCUUCGAAAGCUGGACGGAAAAUGUUUUGAAAAUCCCGGCGGGUCCA